CCGCGUGAGCGAAGAAGGCCUUCGGGUCGUAAAGCUCUGUUGUUAGGGAAGAACAAGUACGAGAGUAACUGCUCGUACCUUGACGGUACCUAACCAGAAAGCCACGGCUAACUACGUGCCAGCAGCCGCGGUAAUACGUAGGUGGCAAGCGUUGUCCGGAAUUAUUGGGCGUAAAGCGCGCGCAGGCGGUCCUUUAAGUCUGAUGUGAAAGCCCACGGCUCAACCGUGGAGGGUCAUUGGAAACUGGGGGACUUGAGUGCAGAAGAGGAGAGUGGAAUUCCACGUGUAGCGGUGAAAUGCGUAGAGAUGUGGAGGAACACCAGUGGCGAAGGCGACUCUCUGGUCUGUAACUGACGCUGAGGCGCGAAAGCGUGGGGAGCAAACAGGAUUAGAUACCCUGGUAGUCCACGCCGUAAACGAUGAGUGCUAAGUGUUAGAGGGUUUCCGCCCUUUAGUGCUGCAGCUAACGCAUUAAGCACUCCGCCUGGGGAGUACGGCCGCAAGGCUG
rnacentral:rRNA from 1 species